GUAGGUAAUAAGUGUAUUGUAAUUUAAAUAGUGUUUUUGUUAUUGUUGUUAUUGUGUAUAUAGAGCGUGCAUAGCACACAUUCUUUCAAGUAAGUGACUCCUAAAUCCUUAAUUCAGAGAACUGUGUUCCACUCAGGCUUCGGGAGUUACUUAUUCUUCAGCCCUAAUCCCUAUUUUUUUCUUUAUAGAGAGAUGCAGUCAGUCAUUGUAGGAAUGGGAUCUUCAUUGACACCAUCAUUAUCAAAUGGGCCUAGACAUGGUAGGGCACUUAAUACACAUGUACCAAGUGAUGUCCUUUGCAUGGAGCUGGACAGCCAUUCAUGUCCACCUCAAUCCUCAUAGUCACCUCCUCCAGUGGGCAGCAGAUACUACUCCCCUAUUAAGUGAGGAGGAGAGGAGGUUCAAAGAGAUAAAAUGAUUUAUCCAGCCCAAACCGGAGACCCCAUGUUCAGAUUCCUAGUCCAUGAUGUAAAGCUAGGUGACAAUCCCUGAGUUCACCCUCACUUCUGAUACCAAUUGCAAAUUCAGGGAUCCUGACAAACACUUCUGUUAGAGUCUGUAAACAAGUCAGGAUGGCACCUAGCAUUUUGCCAGAGGGAGUGGUUAAUGUUAAGGUCUGUAAACAAGUCAGGAUGGCACCUGGCAUUUUGCCAGAGGGAGUGGUUUAUGAAGUGAUGCCAGCGAGCCAUCAAGUGUGGAGAUUUCUUAUUGGUUGACUGCUGUAUCGAGUUUAUGUUAAUUAGAUAAGCUAUGUGGAAUGUAUAAAUACCUCUGUUGUCCUACAAUAAACGGCUCCUACUCCUGCUGUAUCA
rnacentral:lncRNA from 1 species